rnacentral:lncRNA from 1 species
UGCACAUAUCUACCAAAGCAGCUACAAUUCCGCCCACUCUGUGUUGCUUAAUGUCUUAAAUUGUCAGUUGCCUCAGACGUGAGUACUUAAUCCCAACUCAGCUAUUGUAACCACUGUUACCUGCUAUGUAUUAGGCAGUAUGCUAAGCAUGUGUGUGCACCGUGUCUCACAACGAUGCUGAGCAAAAUGUGUAAUUAACUUAUUACCUAUAUUUCCACAUUCAAAAAAAAAAAAUUCAAGGAGUCUAACUCACCUAAUGCUGUCCAGCUGACAAAGAGAAAACCAGGUCUAUUUGAGGAUGCCAUUAAUUCUGCAUUACGUUCCAUAUACACUCAGAUCUACUCAAUCAACUCUGUGGUCUGCAGUUACAUGGAUAGGACUUCUACAGUGAGGUCUUGUCUGAGCUUGAUCUUGCCUGGUUGUCUUUACCUAUUUUCUUGGUUGAUUUUCAUACAUAAUCAAUGACAAUACGAAUAAGAAAGAUAAAGCAAAACAACAAAUACUAAUAUACAUAUACGUACAUAUACAUGUGUACACACACACAUAUAUACAUAUAUGCAUGCACACACACACUCUUGUUAAAAACACUUUGUGUGGGCUGUUAUAGCUCAAGGUAGUUCACAAAGGCCAGUGAUUAUUUUGUGUACUAGAUCUCAUGUUUUAUUUAACUCCUAUUUAUGAAGGGAGCUAUAAACUUUUGUAUGCUUUCAUAUUUCUCACCUGUCUUCAUGCACAUUGUCCUUUGGCUUAUAAAUUAAUGAAGUACUCUUUGAGAGCAUGUCUUUUUUUUUUCCUAUUUGAUGUUUAGCAGAUACCACCUGUCUCCAGAGGACAGGUUGUUUGUUGUUAUUAGAGCACCAUACAGGGUACAGCACGGAUAAACACAGUGGUUGGAGUCUAAUUACUUGAGCUCUUUAUGGAGGUGGAUCAUCUCACAGCACAAUGCUCAACAGGACAAAGUAAGGCCAACUGUCUUUUACAGCAUCAGCUGCUGCCCUGAGUUUGGUGUUUUGCCACGACACCAAGUCUUCUUUGUUUAUCAGGUAAUUAACAGUAAUGAUGUCUUGCUGCUUAGCUUUGUUGCUGAACCAAGGCUCCUUCUUUGCAGACUUGGGAGGACUUCUAGUCCUAGUCCAGUGGCUUGACUGUCACAGCACCAGCAGGCAAUUCUAGGCUUAAUUACCUCUCUGUUUUGUUCUUUACGUUGGGCAAUAAACAUCCAGUCUAAAGGCAAUUUGUGGGAGGGGGGAGAGAAAAGGGAGGGGUGCCUUCUCUCAUGGCAAUGCAUCCAUCAAAUAAACCAACUUAAAAAUGUUUUGACCUUGAGUUCUUAAACAUUAUUGUAAUUCCCCAUCUUAUAAGGAAAAGAAUUUUAAAGAAAGUUAUUCAGAUAAAACACAACCUUACAGAUAGGCAGUCUGUUUAUGAAAUAUGAGGGAAUUCAAUUACCCAUGAAUGGAUAAAUGGCUUUUUUUUCCCUCUCUUUGUCUGGUCAUCAUUGUUACUGUGGAUUUCUUUAACAAAAGAUAUCAAAAUAAACAGAAAUGUCUUCGAUGAACUGUGAGCUUGCAGUUAAGUGGCAUAUCUGUGGGACUGUGCCUCUCUAGGAUGGAUUUAGUAAAGCUAUGUUUUUUUUAAUGGUACAUUAUUGAAUUUUUAGCAAAGUCACACUAAAAAGAAGAAAUUAUUACUUCAGAAUGAACAAAGAUCUAGCAAAACACCACACGUAGCUUUGUUUUUCCUUAGAAAAAGUAUGAAUACUUAUUUCACUAGAUGUCUUAAAAUUUGAGAUAAUUUAGGUUAUAUUUUGUUGAUUAUAGAUAAAUUCAUAUGAAAACAACAUGUGUUUGAGUUCUUAUAUUUCUUAAUCUCAGCAGCUAAUUGACUAUUACUUUUCAGCUUUUUUAAAAUAUGUAAACCAUAUUUUAAAAUGAAUGUUAGUGUGAAGUAUUUACUAGUAACUUUCAGUAUUCAUUAUGAUAUUCAGAACAUUUCAAAUGCCAACAUCCUAAAGUUGUAGAGGUAAUUUUAUUAAUUAUAAGCUAUCAUAUUAUUACCCAUACUACUUUUGCUAGAUAGCUCUUGUGGAUAAAUGACUAACCAUUUAAAAUGAAGUUUGCCUCUUACAUGUUUAUGAAGGAUUUAAUUAUUCUACAAGAUAUCCCAUAUUUUGGUCUAUUUCCAGUAAAUGAAGCAUUUACAUUUAAUAAAAUAGUUUCUACAUGUAGCAGACAAUAUUCAGUAUAUAGCUUAAAUGGCGGAAAAAAAAUUUCCAUCAUAUUUAAAAAAUUUAACAAACUUGUACGGAAGGAUUUAUGUGAAAAGGAAGGGCAUCUGUAUAGAAAUGUGAUUUUUGUUGUUAUUUUCUGAAGAAAUGUUACACCAAAUAUAAUCAGUACUGUGACAUUCCUUUAUUAUUAUUAAUUGGGAAUGUUCCUAUUUUUACUAAUAUUCCUCAAUUUUCAUGAAUGUCAUAUAUAUUUCCUAGCUGAUAUGUAGACUUUUUUUUUUUUUUUUGUCUUUUUGCCUUUUCUAGGGCCACUCCGCAGCAUAUGGAGGUUCCCAGGCUAGGGGUCUAAUUGGAGAUAUUGCUGCCGGCCUAUGCCACAGCCACAGCAACGCGGGAUCCGAGUCACAUCUGCAACCUACACCACAGCUUAUGGCAAUGCCAGAUCUCUAACCCACUGAGUGAGGCCAGGGAUUGAACCUGCAACCUCAUGGUUCUUAGUCGGAUUCUCAUUAACCACUGAGCCACAAUGGGAACUCCUAGACUUCUAACAUAAAAGCAAGAAAACUACGGUUUUCCUUGGCAUUCAACUAGUCUCUUCCAUUUUUAACUACAUUUCAAAAAUUUUUACAUGCUCCAUUUAUAUGUGGAUAGAAAAGAGAAUAUUUUAGAAUUAAACAGUAUCUAACUUAUUAAAUACAAAAUAUCAGGUAUAUGUCAGACUUCCACUGCAUGUGUAAUAUACCAAAAGGCUAUAGUACAGCCACUGGGAACAUUUAUAUUGAGAAAAGUGAAUUAUUAUUCCACUAAAUUUACUCACUAUUGAGUUAGAAUGUUUAAAAUUAUUCUACUGAAAGAAAAAUUGAGUAAAUUGUUGAGUGGGGGAAUGUGUGGAGGGAUAUGGCUUAGAAUAUCAGGUAAUUUUGAAAUGCUAUAAAUGUGACAUUAUAUUGAAAAUCUACCAAAAUUUACCUGCAGAACUCUUGAAAUACAAUGGCUCUCUUUUUCUUUUAAUGUAACUAUUUUCUGUAACCUUGAGAUUCAUAGAGGAACCAAGCCCUUCACACCAUUGUCUCAUAUUUACCUCAUACGUGCAAUAAGCAUAAAGGGCUUAGAAUUGAAUUGAAUUGUCUCAAUAAAACAUAGUCAUUUUAUUAUUAUUCAUAUCAUAAUGUUUAUUAUUAUUUUAUUUGUGCAAAGAGGAGCAUUAUAAUCAUCUUUGGACAUGUAUUGUCACCUGGGGAAAAAUAGUUUUACGACUAAGAAGAAUGGUUGUGACUAUUACUCUUGAAAAAUAACAUCAGUGUCACUGUGGGUCUGGAUGAAGGUGGGAAAGGGAAAAAUGUUAACUGCUUUAGUUCCAGAACAUAUUUCUUCCAAAUGAUGUACUUUUGGGCAGUGUUUACUUUCUACACUCUAAACCACAAAACAAUGCCAAGAAUGAUAAAGGAUACAAUUUAUUAACCAAGAACCUAUAAUACACUCUCUGCAAAUGCAAGAGAGAGAUCCCUACAAUCUUUUCCACCUUAGACCAUCUUUUCUUUUCCCAACAGCAAAAUGUUUUGACAAUCAAAUGUUUAAUGAAACAGUAACAGCAAGUCAGCUGAUGUUUCUUUGCUUAAUUCAAUUCUGAGGGAUGGAACUAUUUAGCCAUGGACUUAGUGACUUCAUUUGAACAUCUUUAGGCACAAGCUUUGUUGAUUUGGACAGUAAGGGUAUAUUCAUACACACACAAAAGAGCCAAUUAGAAUAGUCACAAUAAAUUUAAAUUAGAAUUAAAUUUUAGACGCAAAUAAGAGUCAGAGAAAGUUCAUAUGUGAUCAAGUUUUUAUUGAGGAUAAAGUUUCCAAGCUUGAUGGAGACAGUGUACAAUUCUUGAUAACCAGCAAAUAUUAAGCAGAUGAUUUACACACUGAUUUUUUUUUUUUUUUGGAAAUUCAACUGUAAAUUGCUUUCACAUUUUCCUCACAAACCAUGGAAGAGAAGGGAAGUAAUAAUAAUGAUGAUGAUGAUAAUCCAUUUUGACCAUCUUAUUAUUUUCCCCUUAUUCAUUUGGGAGCUACCGUUAAGUCUUAACCAUCCCGUAAAUACUUAUUUAGUAAAAGGAAACAGAAUAUAUUUUCCCUCAGACUCUCUGCAUUGAUAUAUUGGAAUAGG